UAGUUAAAGGAAUGUAAGAUCUUGCCAUAAGUUUGCCAAAGGGGUGACUUUACAUUUAAAGUUAAGUAAUUUUUCUCAGAAGUUAAACUACAAACCUGGUGAUCAUUUAGGAUUUUUUCCAUGUAACAAAGAUUCUCUUGUAAAUGGGAUAUUAAAAAGAGUUAGUUAUCCUUUCAAUGCUGAUACGGUGAUCGAACCUCAAAUACUAAAACAAGUCCAUACUCCAAAUGGUAUCGUUAAAAACUGGGUUGGGCAUGACAAAUACACAAGUAACUCAUUAAGGAUGAUACUAACAAGAUUUGUUGAUAUAACAACUCCUCCAUCAUCAAACUUACUACGGUAUUUUUCAUCGAUAGCCAC